rnacentral:rRNA from 1 species
UACAGAGGUCUCAAGCGUUGUUCGGAUUCAUUGGGCGUAAAGGGCGUGUAGGUGGCGCCGUAAGUCGGGUGUGAAAUUUCGGAGCUUAACUCCGAAACUGCAUUCCAUACUGCGGUGCUUGAGGACUGGAGAGGAGACUGGAAUUUACGGUGUAGCAGUGAAAUGCGUAGAGAUCGUAAGGAAGACCAGUGGCGAAGGCGGGUCUCUGGACAGUUCCUGACACUGAGGCACGAAGGCCAGGGGAGCAAACGGG